AGCGAACGCUGGCGGCAGGCCUAACACAUGCAAGUCGAACGAACCUUUCGGGGUUAGUGGCGGACGUGUGAUUAACACGUGGUAACGUGCCUUUAGGUUCGGAAUAACUCAGGGAAACUUGUGCUAAUACCGAAUGUGCCCUUCGGGGGAAAGAUUAAUCGCCUUUAGAGCGGCCCGCGUCUGAUUAGCUAGUUGGUUGAGGUAAUGGCUCACCAAGGCGACGAUCAGUAGCUGGUCUGAGAGGAUGAUCAGCCACAUUGGGACUGAGACACGGCCCCAACUCCUACGGGAGGCAGCAGUGGGGAAUCUUGCGGAAUGGGCGAAAGCCUGACGCAGCCAUGCCGCGUGAAUGAUGAAGGUCUUAGGAUUGUAAAAUUCUUUCACCGGGGACGAUAAUGACGGUACCCGGAGAAGAAGCCCCGGCUAACUUCGUG
rnacentral:rRNA from 1 species